GGGGCCGACUUGGUUUCGACCGGACAGGGAAGGUUUGUCGUCGCACGCCCAGGUGCACGUAUGGUUCCUGGCUAAACAACGUGCAACACUAUAAAUGCCAACAAUGAUGUUGUUGGUCGGAUCGGCUUCGCGCCGGCCCGCCUGGCUGCUUAACUAGCGGCCUCGUCUUUUCGCUGAGUGCCUGUGGCAGUGGAAAGGCGCAAGAUCAGCAGGCUCGCCCGACGGUGCUGCUCUGACGCCCGAAGGUUAAAAAACAUCCGAGCUGGGUCCCGCGAACGCCGUCGCCGGCGGCCGCGUGACCGAGAUCAAAUCGGCGACUAAGCGUGUAGAAGCGGCUUGCUGACUGUCUCGGGACGGGGGUUCGAUUCCCCCCGGCUCCACUU
rnacentral:tmRNA from 1 species